rnacentral:rRNA from 1 species
GAUGAACGCUGGCGGCGUGCCUAAUACAUGCAAGUCGAGCGAACAGAUAAGGAGCUUGCUCCUUUGAAGUUAGCGGCGGACGGGUGAGUAACACGUGGGUAACCUACCUAUAAGACUGGGAUAACUUCGGGAAACCGGAGCUAAUACCGGAUAACAUUUAGAACCGCAUGGCUCUAAAGUGAAAGAUGGUUUUGCUAUCACUUAUAGAUGGACCCGCGCCGUAUUAGCUAGUUGGUAAGGUAACGGCUUACCAAGGCGACGAUACGUAGCCGACCUGAGAGGGUGAUCGGCCACACUGGAACUGAGACACGGUCCAGACUCCUACGGGAGGCAGCAGUAGGGAAUCUUCCGCAAUGGGCGAAAGCCUGACGGGGCAACGCCGCGUGAGUGAUGAAGGGUUUCGGCUCGUAAAACUCUGUUAUUAGGGAAGAACAAAUGUGUAAGUAACUGUGCACAUCUUGACGGUACCUAAUCAGAAAGCCACGGCUAACUACGUG